UACGUAGGUGGCAAGCGUUGUCCGGAUUUACUGGGCGUAAAGAGCGCGCAGGCGGUCGCUAAGUCGCGUGUGAAAGCCCCCGGCUCAACUGGGGAGGGUCACGCGAUACUGGUCGUCACGAAGGCAGGAGAGGGUAGUGGAAUUCCCGGUGUAGUGGUGAAAUGCGUAGAUAUCGGGAGGAACACCAGUGGCGAAGGCGACUACCUGGCCUGUUCUUGACGCUGAGGCGCGAAAGCUAGGGGAGCAAACGGG
rnacentral:rRNA from 1 species